AGUGGCGAACGGGUGAGUAAUGCAUCGGAACGUACCGUGUAGUGGGGGAUAACGUAGCGAAAGUUACGCUAAUACCGCAUACGCCCUGAGGGGGAAAGUGGGGGACCGCAAGGCCUCACGCUAUAUGAGCGGCCGAUGUCGGAUUAGCUAGUUGGUAGGGUAAAGGCCUACCAAGGCGACGAUCCGUAGCGGGUCUGAGAGGAUGAUCCGCCACACUGGGACUGAGACACGGCCCAGACUCCUACGGAAGGCAGCAGUGGGGAAUUUUGGACAAUGGGCGCAAGCCUGAUCCAGCCAUGCCGCGUGAGUGAAGAAGGCCUUCGGGUUGUAAAGCUCUUUCAGACGGAAAGAAAUCUCUCGGGAUAACACCCUGGGAGGAUGACGGUACCGUAAGAAGAAGCACCGGCUAACUACGUGCCAGCAGCCGCGGUAAUACGUAGGGUGCGAGCGUUAAUCGGAAUUACUGGGCGUAAAGCGUGCGCAGGCGGUGAUGUAAGACAGAUGUGAAAUCCCCGGGCUCAACCUGAGAACUGCGUUUGUGACUGCAUCACUCGAGUACGGCAGAAGGGGAGGGUGGAAUUCCGCGGUGUAGCAGUGAAAUGCGUAAAAAUGCCGGAGGAACACCG
rnacentral:rRNA from 1 species